AUUGAACGCUGGCGGCAUGCUUUACACAUGCAAGUCGAACGGCAGCGCGGGCUUCGGCCUGGCGGCGAGUGGCGAACGGGUGAGUAAUGCAUCGGAACGUGCCCAGUAGUGGGGGAUAGCCCGGCGAAAGCCGGAUUAAUACCGCAUACGACCUGAGGGUGCAAGCGGGGGACCGAAAGGCCUCGCGCUAUUGGAGCGGCCGAUGUCGGAUUAGCUAGUUGGUGGGGUAAAGGCUUACCAAGGCGACGAUCCGUAGCUGGUCUGAGAGGACGACCAGCCACACUGGGACUGAGACACGGCCCAGACUCCUACGGGAGGCAGCAGUGGGGAAUUUUGGACAAUGGGGGCAACCCUGAUCCAGCCAUGCCGCGUGCGGGAAGAAGGCCUUCGGGUUGUAAAACGCUUUUGUUCGGGAAGAAAUCCUCUGGGCUAAUACCCCGGGGGGAUGACGGUACCGGAAGAAUAAGCACCGGCUAACUACGUG
rnacentral:rRNA from 1 species